UAUAUUUGUGUGCGUACGUGCGUGCUUCAUAACCCGUACGUAAAACAUUUCAGGGCGACCAAACUGAUAACUCUAUGGCUCGAUGUGUGGCACCCGGAUGCGUGAGUGUUUAGCCAUUGAUACCCUGGCUCGAGUCCAACUCGAAUUAUGAAAACAGAUCCAACAAAUUAUCAUUCCAUCGAUCCCCAAGGGAUGUGACUAUUCGGAAGAAAUGGCUUCGAUUCUUUGCACAGGAGCUAAACAGCAAUACUAAACACAUACAUUUGCUCGCUUCACUUCAGUCCAGAUUGUUUCAUUCAUAUUCAUAUUCAAACAGCUGUUCCUACUGUCAGAAAGGCCAACGAUUCUCAUGCCUCGGGAUAUCAAAACGUACGGCUCGCCGAAAGGUCUUGAUUGACAUCAAGCAAGAGUAAAAAAUCAUAAAUCAUCCAUAACAUCCGCGGAGUUGAUCCAGUUUUUUAAUGGGACGAAACAUGACUAUCUCGAGAAGGAUAUUCCGACAAAUGAAAUCGGGAGCAGCACUCUCAACAUCUCUAAUGAAAAACCUAGUGAUUCUGCUAGUUCUGAAAGCUUAAUUCAAGCACUACAGUAGCAGGUAUCGGAGAGCUACAGAGAGCUUUAGGAAGCUAAUCUCUGAAUUACCGAACAACAUUUUUUUUUCCCCUAGGUUUUGAUCUAAAUAGAUUAUC